rnacentral:rRNA from 1 species
CACGUAGGGGGCGAGCGUUGUCCGGAAUUACUGGGCGUAAAGCGCGCGUAGGCGGAUCGCUAAGUCAGGGGUGAAAUCCCAGGGCUCAACCCUGGAACUGCCUUUGAUACUGACGAUCUGGAGAUCGGGAGAGGUUGGUGGAAUUCCGAGUGUAGAGGUGAAAUUCGUAGAUAUUGGGAAGAACACCGGUGGCGAAGGCGGCCAUCUGGACCGCAACUGACGCUGAGGCGCGAAAGCGUGGGGAGCAAACAGG